UUUCAUCUCACUCGUAGAGAUUAUUCAUGGAUCCAUUUUAAAAUCACAGUACCUUGAUUUCCUUUCAAUCAACAAUACUUCAAUUUUGUGUUCUUGUGUCCAACGGGUGUGGGCUCUCUGCUUCUGCUGGAUUGGGAUUGAGUUUUUCCAACAUAAAGAUGUGCAAUGCCAUUUUAAGUGUUUUGUUCCGCAACAUGCAUCAGUCGUAAAGGAUUUGGUAUGGAAAGGGUUGUGGGCGGCGAUGGUCUGGUGCAUUUGGGAGCAGAGAAAUCAAAUUAUUUUUAGGUAAGGGGUAGUAGAUGCGGAAUAGAUCUUCCAAAUGGCUCAAUUAAAAUCUUGGCUUUGGUUGAAAUACAGGGUUGGACCCUUUGACUACUCUUUCUCUGAUCGGCAUUUGAACCACUUUUUCUGCUUAAAAGCGUUGUGUAACGGGUAGAGGUUUUUUUUUUUUUUGUUUCUAGAAGGAGCUUUGUCGAAGUUGUUCUUUGUCCUUGUUAUUUCUAUUGCAGCUGGAGCAGUGCCCUCGAUCAAGCGUGUGGAGGGUUCUGCCCUAUAGGGGUGGUUUUUUUUCUACGGGUGUAGUUUGAUAUUCCGUUUAAGGGUUUUGUCUAAUCCUUUGGAAGAAAAGGAGGUUGUGGUUAUGAGGAAAGGGCUCCAGCAAGGCGGUGUAUGUGUCUGUUAGGAGGUGUUGUAGCAGGGAGUUAUGAGCACUUUAUCAUGUGUAUUGGUUGCUAGUAUGGGUGCAGGUGUGAGGGGCAAGAGUUCUUUCGGUGGUGCGAGGAUCCUUCACGGUCACAUCUUAUGUGAAAUGCGUUUAAUCCUCGGUUGGAUGGUGGAUAAAGAGAUGAGUUCCUGUUGUUUUUUUUGUGAAUGGUUGCUGGUUUUUAUGAACAUAGUUGUUGUUGCAGCUUUUAAUUGUUAAUUCUGUUGUAGGAGUGUCACAGAGGCAUAGUAGGUUGUCUACUAUGUUACAUUGUCUCUAGUCUUUUGUAUACGGAUUGGGUCAUCCCUGAAGUGUCCCCUUUUAUUCAUUCAUUAUUACUGAUACAAAAAAAAAACAAUACUUCAAUUUCAUUUUAAUCAUAUUGAUUACACAUGGAUCCAUCGUCUUCAAGAAGGCUCAUUAAGUAUGUUCCUACCAAAUACCAACAUCUGAUCCAAUAUCCAAUACUUAUAUUUACACACAAAUCUAAGAGAAGGAUUAGGGUAAGUCCAAAACUAUGUGACUAUAAGUGAUCAUGGUGCGUAUGAACUCCCUCAUCAACUGAUACUUUGGUUUAUGUGACUUAGAUCAUCAAUUAAUCUAGAGGAUCUAUGUUAACCUUAGGUUUUCAUACUUAAUGUACCAAUACACAAUACCUUGUACAUUAUCCCAAAAUGUAUGACAUUAAAUUCAUACAAGUUUUCAUCAUUCGCAUAUAACACAUAUCAAUCACACACAAUGCAUAUCAAUCACUACAUUAUUUAAGAUUUCUCAAAUAAAUUACAUAUACAUCUUUUAUUGAUGACAUUAAUCCAUAUAAUUUAGAAAAUGCACAAUUCAAUUGGACAUACAUAUUUACUUUUCAUUUUAGUAACGGUUAUAUUUUCUUUUUAAUAUUCAAAUAUUGACAUUAGAAAGUUGUAAUCAAUUACAAUUUUUAAAUUAAUAAAUUUGGCUGAACGAAUUGGAGACAGAAAACACCAAAAACUGCAGUUCAAAUCCACUUAACACCUGAAAUUUGGAUAAGCGGAUUUGAGGCCGAAAACAUCCUAAAAUUAAAGCUCAAAUUCACUUAGCGCAUAAAAAAAUUGCUUAGUAGAUUUGAGAUAUACAACUCAAUCUGCUUAGACUUGUGUUAAAUGUAUUUAACAAAUUUGACAAACUAAAAUCCCAAUUUGUACAUGAAAUAUAACAUUUUCAACCAUUCAAAACUAUUUAUUUGUAGUUAUAUUUUAAAACUAGUUCAAUCAACAUACAAGUAGUUUCUCUUAACUGAAAAAUUUAUCUUCAAAGCAAUCAUCUCAAGUCUAAGUCUGAAAUAUUAUAUCAAACUAUGGGGACCUAGAAAGUUAUUCAAAUAUAACCAAAUUUUAAUGUAUGGAAGUUGAGAGAAUUAUUUUUCGCAAUUAACCUCAUUAAGAUUGAUGACAAAAUUAUAGACAAAUAGAAAACCAUGAAUAUUUCAAUAAAAAAAUGAACUUACUUACUUUGAAAAUUUCAUUGGAUG
rnacentral:lncRNA from 1 species